rnacentral:rRNA from 1 species
UACGAAGGGGGCUAGCGUUGCUCGGAAUCACUGGGCUUAAAGCGCGUGUAGGCGGGACGGCACGUCGGUCGCUGAAAGCCCCCGGCUCAACCGGGGAACGGGCGCCGAUACGACCGCCCUGGAGGGACGUAGGGGGACCUGGAACUUCCGGUGGAGCGGUGAAAUGCGUUGAGAUCGGAAGGAACGCCCGUGGCGAAGGCGGCGAUCUGGGUAGAUACUGACGCUGAGGUGCGAAAGCGUGGGGAGCAAACAGG